AAAAACAAGAAAGGAAUCAAUCUAGGAACAACUAGAAAGAUACAAUCAAACAAAUACUCAACCCGAUGAGGAUAUAACUCAGGGGAGUAAUUCCAUCCAGUUACACAACUGGGGAGGAAACUGAAACAAUAAUCAUCCACGAGGACAUAACUCAGUGGGGAAUGAAGAAGAUAGACACUCUCUAUUGGGGAUCUUAUCAUGGGAUGAUAUGAAACUCCGUGGGGAACAACCACCAAACAGAUACACAUCAAUCAAGCAUUCUCUUCUAACUACUGAAGAGAC
rnacentral:lncRNA from 1 species